rnacentral:rRNA from 1 species
GGUUGACCUCGGAUCAGGUAGGGAUACCCGCUGAACUUAAGCAUAUCAAUAAGCGGAGGAAAAGAAACCAACAGGGAUUGCCUUAGUAACGGCGAGUGAAGCGGCAAAAGCUCAAAUUUGAAAUCUAACGCCUCUGGUGUUCGAGUUGUAAUUUGGAGAGGCAUCUUCCGGAGUGGCCCAGCCUAUGUACCUUGGAACAGGACGUCAUAGAGGGUGAGAAUCCCGUUCUUGGCUGGAUGUUCACUCCCGUAUGUAGUGUCUUCUACGAGUCGAGUUGUUUGGGAAUGCAGCUCAAAAUGGG